rnacentral:rRNA from 1 species
UACAGAGGGUGCGAGCGUUGUCCGGAAUCACUGGGCGUAAAGGGCGCGUAGGUGGCGACCCAAGUCUGUGGUGAAAGCUCGCCGCUUAACGGCGAGUCGGCCACGGAUACUGGGUGGCUCGAGCACUGUAGGGGCAGAUGGAAUUCCGGGUGUAGCGGUGGAAUGCGUAGAGAUCCGGAGGAAGACCGGUGGCGAAGGCGGCCUGCUGGGCAGUUACUGACACUGAGGCGCGACAGCGUGGGGAGCAAACAGG